GGCCCUCUAGUUGCGGGUAUAAAAGAGGAGUGAGGAGGCUGCCCGAUUGCCUUAGUCUCUCCGGUGCCCGCGUUUUGUGGAUUUCGAGUGUGAUUUCUUCCUUCAGCCUUACAAAACCCCUGCAGCAGAAAUGGAUCUGAGUGCUCGCGACAUUGAAAGGGGGAAAUUCGCCUUCUCCAUCUACGAUUUUGAGGGUAAUGAGACUAUGGACAUGUUCUACUUGGGAGACUGUCUCCGAGCUCUUAACCUAAACCCCACCCUGGCCCAAAUCGAGAAAAUGGGUGGCACAAAGAAGAAGGGAGAGAAGAAGAUCAAGGCUGACGAGUUCUUGCCCAUCUUCUGCCAGAUCAAGAAGGACAAAGAUGUCGGUACCAUUGAAGACUUCAUUGAGUGCAUGAAACUCUACGACAAGACCGACAACGGCACAAUGGUCUUCGCUGAGCUCCAACACAUCCUUAUGGCUUUGGGUGAGCGCCUUGAAGAUAAGGAAGUCGAUGACAUCCUGACUGCUUGCUGCGACCCCGAGGAUGACGAGGGCAUGAUCCCCUACAAACCGUUUCUUACCCGAGUUUUGGCCGGACCCUACCCCGAAAGUCAACAAUAAGUCAAUAUACAUGUUACGCCUCUUCAACCCUACCCUUCAACAACAAAAACAAACAAACGCAAACAGUUACACAUCCAUCAGCUUUCUUGGAGAAAUUGAUUGCCGGUCCUUUCCCAGAACAGGAAUAAACAUCACCUAAAACAACAACGCCCAACCGUGAAUAAAACCGCAAAAAUUUCUUCUUAUCACAACCACCAGUUGCCAAAAGAUGGAUUAAUUAUCACAAAAUAACCAAUACAACAUACAAUGACAAAAUUCUUUUUCAUUAAUUUAACACAUUUUGAUUACGAUGUCUCCACGUAUUGCCUUGUUUGUUUUCUUUUUCUUUUUUUGAUUUGGGAAGGGAAUCAGUAGCAAGGGUCGAGGGAAGGGCGUUAUGCCAUCAGUCAGAUCAGCUUCAUUGUUUUGUUGAGAAUUUUUCUUGUAAAGCGAAGAAGGUGAAAGAAGAAAUAAAACUUUAAAAAGCGUCUCUGUACUGUGAGGGGGGAUGUGGAGACUUUUGUAACAGCCGGAAUAAAGUCAUUUGUGCAUGAUUGUGA